UACGUAGGUGGCAAGCGUUGUCCGGAUUUACUGGGCGUAAAGAGCACGCAGGCGGUCGUUCAAGUCGCGUGUGAAAGCCCCCGGCUCAACUGGGGAGGGUCACGCGAUACUGAUCGACUCGAAGGCAGGAGAGGGUAGUGGAAUUCCCGGUGUAGUGGUGAAAUGCGUAGAUAUCGGGAGGAACACCAGUGGCGAAGGCGGCUACCUGGACAAUUGCUGACGCUCAGGCACGAAAGCGUGGGGAGCAAAAGGG
rnacentral:rRNA from 1 species